ACGGAAGGCAGCAGUCGGGAAUAUUGGACAAUGGAGGGAACUCUGAUCCAGUGACGCCGCGUGAAGGAAGAAGGUCUUCGGAUUGUAAACUUAUUUUACCAGGGACGAAGAAUGACGGUACCUGGAGAAAAAGCAACGGCUAACUACGUGCCAGCAGCCGCGGUAAUACGUAGGUUGCAAGCGUUGUCCGGAUUUACUGGGUGUAAAGGGCGUGUAGGCGGAGCUGCAAGUCAGAUGUGAAAUCCCGGGGCUCAACCCCGGAACUGCAUUUGAAACUGUAGCCCUUGAGUAUCGGAGAGGCAAGCGGAAUUCCUAGUGUAGCGGUGAAAUGCGUAGAUAUUAGGAGGAACACCAGUGGCGAAGGCGGCUUGCUGGACGACAACUGACGCUGAGGCGCGAAAGCGUGGGGAGCAAACAGGAUUAGAUACCCUGGUA
rnacentral:rRNA from 1 species